rnacentral:rRNA from 1 species
UACGUAAGGUGCGAGCGUUAAUCGGAAUUACUGGGCGUAAAGCGUGCGCAGGCGGUUUUGUAAGUCAGAUGUGAAAUCCCCGGGCUCAACCUGGGAACUGCGUUUGAAACUACAAGGCUAGAGUGUAGCAGAGGGGGGGUAGAAUUCCACGUGUAGCAGUGAAAUGCGUAGAGAUGUGGAGGAAUACCAAUGGCGAAGGCAGCCCCCUGGGUUAACACUGACGCUCAUGCACGAAAGCGUGGGGAGCAAACAGG